rfam:Oerskovia sp. Root918 contig_6, whole genome shotgun sequence.
GGUCACGAGCACCAGCGCCAAGCCCCGGCUCGCUGGUCAGCAACCCCUCCCACGACGGGGUGCUCCGGGAGAUGACCUGGUCGCGCCGGCACCGGCGCGGCAAGCGUGCAGC